rnacentral:rRNA from 1 species
GACGAACGCUGGCGGCGUGCUUAACACAUGCAAGUCGAACGCUGAAGCUCAGCUUUUGUUGGGUGGAUGAGUGGCGAACGGGUGAGUAACACGUGAGUAACCUGCCUCCUUCUUUGGGAUAACGCCCGGAAACGGGUGCUAAUACUGGAUAUUCACUGGUCUUCGCAUGGGGGUUGGUGGAAAGGGUUUUUCUGGUGGGGGAUGGGCUCGCGGCCUAUCAGCAUGUUGGUGGGGUGAUGGCCUACCAAGGCUUUGACGGGUAGCCGGCCUGAGAGGGUGACCGGUCACAUUGGGACUGAGAUACGGCCCAGACUCCUACGGGAGGCAGCAGUGGGGAAUAUUGCACAAUGGGCGCAAGCCUGAUGCAGCGACGCCGCGUGAGGGAUGGAGGCCUUCGGGUUGUGAACCUCUUUCGCUCAUGGUCAAGCCGCAACAAUGGUUGUGGUGAGGGUAGUGGGUAAAGAAGCGCCGGCUAACUACGUG